rnacentral:rRNA from 1 species
GACGAACGCUGGCGGCGUGCUUAACACAUGCAAGUCGAACGGUAAGGCCCUUUCGGGGGUACACGAGUGGCGAACGGGUGAGUAACACGUGGGUGAUCUGCCCUGCACUUUGGGAUAAGCCUGGGAAACUGGGUCUAAUACCGGAUAGGACUACGCGAUGCAUGUCGUGUGGUGGAAAGCUUUUGCGGUGUGGGAUGGGCCCGCGGCCUAUCAGCUUGUUGGUGGGGUGAUGGCCUACCAAGGCGACGACGGGUAGCCGGCCUGAGAGGGUGUCCGGCCACACUGGGACUGAGAUAUGGCCCAGACUCCUACGGGAGGCAGCAGUGGGGAAUAUUGCACAAUGGGCGCAAGCCUGAUGCAGCGACGCCGCGUGGGGGAUGACGGCCUUCGGGUUGUAAACCCCUUUCAGCACAGACGAAGCGUAAGUGACGGUAUGUGCAGAAGAAGCACCGGCCAACUACGUG